UACAGCUUCACCAAAAUAGCCUCAAAACUACGACUAGAGCCAUGCAACAAAGGCCAGCCGUCACAGCUUAAGAGCACUCCCCUUGUUCUGCAGUAUCGACCUUCUCUUAUGUGAGUAAAUAACAGACACACAGGCUCCAGAGAGAGAAUGUCUCAACUGAGAAAUUGAACUCUGUGUAUGCUGAUAUUUUUUCCAUAUUCCUGGAGAGACUGUGUGAGCCUGUUCUGUUUAUGACUGCACAAAAAACAGUGACAAAACAAAACAGUGACAUGAACAAACUAAACAUGGAAAGGAAAGGUGCCUCUGCUCAGCUCCAUAACUCUCCUAUAACUCAGGAACUCAAAAGAAAAAGGAUCGCAGAAUGGAUCAAGUUGG